AUUGUAAAGAUGACGUAACGCGUACGCGGGACGGUCCAUAGCUUCCUUCCUGCCGCUUAAUCCGCCAUUCCGAAUUAGUUCGUGGCACGCGUCGCAACCGAGCUUCGUCCUCUCGUUAAUUAGAAUUAUUAGUUAAUUAGAAUAUUUUAUCUAACGUUCACUCAGAUUUUAUACAGCGAUGAAUACCAAAAAUGCGAUUUCCGCGAGUGAAUUUAUUAAUAACGAUCACGCUCAAUUGCGAAAUAUAACUUAUUCUACUGCGUUCCUUAACCUAACAUAAUCAUCUAAGCCAUCGUUUUUUCGAUUAUAGAAUGGAAGAGGUACGAUGUCCGGAUUAUCAAUUUUACUUACGUACAAUAAGAAGUGAUAUUCGAUACAGGACGACGAGUGGGCGUAGAUUCUGUGAAUUUGUUCGUGAGCGUUAACGAUACAGUGUGCCCUGUGUUCCUAGAAAGAAGCAAGAUGGAUUCGGCUAGAGUUCAACAGAGUAGACGUCUUCCGUUUAAGUUUAUACAUUCAUUCUUCGAUUAAGCAGUGUUCUUUCAGCGAAACUUCUUUUAGUAAUUUGCCGUCAGAGUAUAUUUUUUGUUCGAUUGUACAUUUUUUGGGAAGUGCGUUUUAUAUACGUGGAAUAGUUGAUAAUUCAGAGUUCAUUCAAAUUGAAUAACGUUGAUGUAACAUUGUUUCUUUAAUUUUACAUUAGUGGAUUUUAUAUGGAUUCUUUCAACCUUCAUCGUCGUCAUGUGAUUAAUAAUCGACAUCAUCAGGAUAGGGAGGAGUUUUGCACGGUCGUCACCGCGCAGUUGAAUCUUUCUAGACGCAACCCACUUUUUAUCGAGCACGUGUUUAUGGUCGAGAUUUGUCUCGUACCAUUUUCUGUGCAUUUACGCUGGUUGCUCUGCCCUCGUCCAGCAUUAUAAAAUAACCGAGGACAUUCUACUCUCCUCCUUAUUUUUUAGACCUGCUUCAGAUGUCGUUAAUUGAUCUCACGUCGAGGACGAUCGAUGGGAAAAUCUAUGUACGCGAACGCGCUUAAUCUACAUUAUUUUAACGAGUCGUCUCGUCCGUCUUGGAAUAUCACUGCGAAAUAAAAAUUGUAGACUUUUCGUCGAUAGUACAUGACAGAACGAAUACUGCUUAAAUCACGGAGUGGAUGUAUCAUUCGACGGAUCGUUUCCUGAUUGCUGUAAUGCGGUUGACAGUUCUUUAGCCAUCGAAAUGUUACAAGCACGUGGGGAAGCCAUUGCAAAGGUGACGUAAUGCGCAAGCGCGGCGGUCCACAGCCCCCUUGCUGCCUCAGAAUCCAUCAUUUUGAAUAAUUAUUGGCACGUGUUACGACCAAGCUUUUUUCUCUCGUUGAUUGCAGAAUGGAAGAGGUAGGACGUCCAGAUUUUCGUCAUCAAUUUUACUUAUUUACGAUAGUAAAUGGUGUUCGACACACAACAACGACUGGAUGUAGACGUGAUUUCUUUCGUUAUUGUUGACAUUACAUCGUGGCUAAUUUUCUUAAAAAUAAGCAAGACGAAUUUAGUUACAUUCAAACAGAAUUGACAUCUUGACAGUACGAACGCUACUUAAAUCGUGGAAGGAAGCGUUCCUUGAUCUAACAACCAGCUAAGGAAUCAUUAUUUUCGAUGAUAGAAAGAAAGAAGUAUGAAGUUCAAAAUUUUCGUCAUCAGUUUUACUUAUCUAUGAUAAGCAAUGGUAUUGGACACAGGACGACAACUGAUAAGCAAUAGUUGACAUAUAUUAUUAUUUAUUUUCACGUUACCCUUUACGAUAACGUUUAGCUAAUUCUACAUUUAUUUUUUCAGGGUAUAGGCAUUGCGAUUUCGUCCGUUAUUGUUAACAAUGCAUCGUGGCCCGUGUUCCUUGAAAUAAGCAUGGUGAAUUUAGUUACAGUCGAACAGAAUUGACAUCUGUUUACACAUUCAUUCUUCGAUUAAACAGUGUUCUGUUAACGAUACUUUUACAUCGGAGUAUAUUUUUCUUCCGAUUACAUUUUUCAUUUAAUAUACAUCGAGUAGCUGAUAAUUCAAAGUUUAUUCAAGUUGGAUAACUUUAUCGUAACUUCAUUCCUUUAAUCGAUGAAAAAAUCUAUGUAAGCGAACGCGUCUUAAAUAACACUAUUUCAACGAGUCAUAUGGUCUCUCUUGAAAUAUCGCUGCGAAAUAGAAACGAUAGGCUUUUCGUCGAUAGUAUACGACAGAACGAACACUGCUUAAAUCGAAAUAUAUGUGUUAAUUGGGUCGUGGAUUCCCGGAUAGCAGUUCCUAAGUAUCACGCUCGUUAGAGCAAGAUGGUUCUUUAUUCUCUUGUCUGAUGAGGAAUACUUAACAUUUUGAUAUUUUUAUUAUAACACUAUUUUUAUUAACUUUGUUAAUUUUUUUUCUUUUUUUUUCUUUUUUUUUUUCUUAUAGGAAGCCUAUGUUGUAAUUUCGUUCUACUGUUUGGAUACGGGUAAAAGAACAAUUCAACGCUCUAGUUGGAAAUGGUCUUUGUAAAAUUGCGACUCAUGGAAAGCCUCCUUCCUCUAGGAUCUAUUAUGAAUAUGAAGAUGAGAAAGGAAAGGAAAGGAGCCAGGAAGAUGCGAUGGAAGCAAUAACGAAGGAUGGAAUUUUGAAGAAUCUUCCAUUGGGUUAAAAUCAGCAGGAAAACAACGCUUCCUUCAUUUUACCGAACCGAAAGAAGACUCGCCUCUCCUUCGUGCGUAUUGCUUCUUUAAAUCCGCUUAAGCUCCAACGUUCUACGUAAUUCUCAGCGAUUUUGCGCACCCCUAAGCGUUUCUGCGUGACACCCUAAGCGAUACUGCAAUACCCUAAGCGUGUUUCUGCAAUACCCUGAGCGUUUCUGCGAUACCCUGAGCGUUUUUGCGCGACACCCUAACCGAUCCUGCGUGACACCCUAAGCGAUCCUGCACGAUACCCUUAAGCGUUUCUGCGACACCCUCAGCGUACCUGCGCAAUCCCUAACGUCGUAUUCUGUUCAAUUCUCAGCGUUUUGCGUAACCAUCAGCAUUUCAAACGAUUCCCCUGCUUUAGUCUUGCGCAUAAUUGCGAUGUUUUACGAAAAAUUACAAGAUAGAAACAAAUUUGUUAGAAUCAUUGUUAUAAUAUUGUUGGAGUUUAUAGAGCGUUGAAAAAAAGAAACUUCAAUUGGAAGGUAGUACAUCAGUUGAUUUCUUUCCGGAAUGUUAACAUAAAAUUGUUUUAUACUUCACAAGAUAUUACGUGCGGUGCAACGUUUAAGCGGUUGUAUUAUUGUUUAAAUCUUAUUUUAUAUCGACCAAUCGUAUAUUAUAGAUUCUUUAAAUAAUUGUAAAGUGAUAGAAAGCAUACAUAAAUUUGAUGCGUUAAGAGAAUUUUAGACCACCGUCGGGCGUAUCGAAAACCGUCGUCCAGUAUUUAUCCGUAACAACAAACAUCUUUUUAGACGAUUCUUAGGAUAUCGCGUGACCCCAGCUUCGCGAAUAAUUGAAAUGCUCAUAUACUAAAAAAGAAAAAAUAUUAUUUUUAUCAUUGUAAUAAGAAAGCGUCGAAAAAAAAGAAGCUUAAAUAGAAGGCAGUAUGUAAGCAGAUUUCUGUUCUGCGAAACGUUCGAUUAAAAUUAUUUUCUACGUACUACGAGCGGUAUAAAGCUUGAGCGGCGGGGUUGUAUUCUGUAAAUAUUAGUUUGAUACUACCGAGCGUACAUAUGUAGCGUACAUUGCUUAAAUGAUUGUAAAACGACAAAAAAUAAAAAUGAUCUAGGUUUAGCGCGGUUCAACGCGGUCCAACGCGUGUACCGGAAAUUUUAGGGCAUGGUAGAGCGUUUCAACUACCGUGAAUCCAUUCGUGCGUAAUUAAGCGUGUUGCGUAAUUCCGAACAGAUUGGCGUAACCCUUAGAAAUAUUGCGUAAACCCCUAACCCUUAUUUAGGUAAAUUCUCUGGCUCUGCCAGACGCAACCCAGCGAUUUCGCCCACUACGUGGUUCGGCGUAAGUAUCCAUUUGGCAAGGUAUGGGUUUUUUUUUACACGUAAGUCCUGUCGAUUUUUCGCAACGUCCAACGUGGACACCCAGAGUUUUGUCUUUUUCAGGUUAUCUGCAACCUCGGAGUUAUUUAUUCACCUACAUACUAUCGAGAUUACUGAAGCGAUGGUAUUUUUUUUGCAUAAUGUUGAGGGCAUUGCGUCGUUUUGAACGAAUGCGCGUAAUCAGUAGUUUCUUUUUUUUUGUAUGAAGCCCACCGUAUCUAUAUAAUCCUUACAGAUUUUGUGUAAACCUUUGCGUGUAUUCAGCCGAACUUCUGUGGUCCAACUUCGGUGUAAUCCAGAUGCGACCCAACGAUUUGCAGUAAGUAUUUUUCUCACUUACUGCCUUUAUGUUCGUUCCGUAAUUCUACGCGUGUUGCGUAAAUUGCAUAGUAUCUGCAACCCGCAGCUCAUUUUCCUAGAUACCAGCGAAGUUAUUUAAACUGCGGCAUUUUUUUUUUUUUCAUAGUUCGGGAUAUUUUCGUUUUAUCCGAAGAAUCCGCGUUUUUAUAUAGCCUAACGUCUCUGUGUAAACCGUGGCGUGUAUUUAGCUUCAUUUUAGCGUGUCUACUUAACUCUAACGUUUCCACAUUAUCACUUAGUUAUCGACCGUAUUUUUUUUUUAACGUGAUCUCUAUUCGUCGCGUAAUUCUUCGCGUAUAUCGUAAUUUGGAGGGUAUUUAGAGCCCUAGCUUAUUUUCCAUGAUACUAGAUGGGUUACUUACCCGACAGAAUAUUUGCAUAGUCCCAGGGGUACUUCCGAUGAAUCGUUGCAAUGUCCAACUUCUUUACAACGCCAAGCGAUUUUGCGAAACCUUUGCACGAUUUGAAAGCCCUAGUGUAACGUAGCGUAACGUAUUUUUACAUAACGAUCCCGAGAUUUGUCGAAAGUACUUCUUUUUUCUUUUUUCAUAAUGCCUGUCGGAGGUUUUUCUUUUUGACAUUCUUAACAGCUGCGUUAUUCGUAGAAUACUCUAAGCAGCUUAUUUUCGUAGAUACUAGCUAGGUUAUUGAAACGACAGCAUUUUUUCUUUUUUCCUUUUUUAUAAUUCGUGGGGCACUCGUUAGAUCCGACGAAUCUGCGUAAAUACUAGGGUUUUACUCGUAGAUGACCGCGUAGAUGACCGCGUAGAUGACCGUGUACUUUCAUGUGUAUCUGCAACUAUCAGCUUAUUAAUCGAAGAUAUUACCGAGGUUAUAUGAUCGACUGCAUUUAUUUUGCAUAAUCUGUGGGGCACUCGCGUUAUUUCCGAAGAAUCUGCGUAAAUACUAGGGUUUUCAGGAAGUGCAGCGUUUCUGUGUAAUCCUUGUAGAUUUGGCGUCGGUAAUAGGACGUAUUUAGGUAGCCUCCGAGAAUGCGGCGUAAUCCGAUUGUUUCCGCGUUACCACCCUGUGAUUUCGCGUAAGUACUUGCAUUUAUACGUAAUACUUGUGUAAAUUCCUGUCGGUUUUCGAUAACUCGGGGAUGACCGUGUAGUUCCCGUGUAUUUACAACUGUCGGCUUAUUAAUCGAAGAUAUUACCGAGGUUAUAUGAUCGACUGCAUUUUUUUUGCAUAAUCUGUGGGGCACUCGCGUUAUUUCCGACGAAUCUGCGUAAAUACUAGGGUUUUCAGGAAAUGCGGCGUUUCUGUGUAAUCCUUGUAGAUUUGGCGUCGGUAAUAGGGCGUAUUUAAGUGGCCUCCGAGAAUGCGGCGUAAUCCGAUUGUUUCCGCAUUACCACCCUGUGAUUUCGCGUAAGUACUUGCCUUUGUACGUAAUACUUGUGUAAAUUCCUGUCGGUUUUCGAUAACUUGUGGAUGACCGUGUAGUUCCCGUGUAUUUACAAUUGUCGGCUUAUUAAUCGAAGAUAUUACCGAGGUUAUUUUAUCGACUGCAUUUUUUUUUGCAUAAUCCGCGGGGCACUCGUUAUAUCCGACGAAUUUGCGUAACUACUAGCAUUUUCAUAAAGUCCGGCAUUUCUGCGUAACCUACAGAUUUUACAAAAAUCUAAGUACGCAAUCUACAGCGUGGGACAUAACCCUACUGUCUUCGCUUUACCAUCCGGUGAUUAGAAGUAUUUGUCCGUUUUCUUUUUAGGUAAUCCCUCGGUUUUUCAAUAGUUCCUAACGUACCGACGUAGUUCCUAGGUUUAUCAGCAAUACCCAGGUUAUUUUCUUAGAUACUAGCGAGGUUACUUAAACGACAUUUUUGGCCUCCGAGCUUUCUCCGUAAUCUCAUUUUUUUCCGCAUAACCAUCUCGUGAUUUCGUUCAAGUAUAUUGUUUUUCCGUAAUGGAUGUCGAUUUUUCCUAACUCCUAGAUGACCGUGUAAUUUCCAGGAUAUCUGUAACGAUCAGCUUAUUAAUUCUAGAUAUUAACGAGGUUAUUUAGUCGAUAGCAUUUUUGAAUAGUCCCUGAGGCGGUUGCAUUAUUUACGUAGACUAUACGAACUACCAGCAUCUUUAUAAAGCUCAUCGUUUCUGGGUAACCCUUACAGAUUUUGGCUUAUCCGACUGGCGAUUUGAAGUUAUCCGUAGUACCCAUCUUAUUUCCCUAGAUUCUAGAGAGGUUACUUAAACGACAACAUCGUUGCAUAAUCCCAGGGGCAUAUUCGUUAUUUCCUACGAAUCAAGUAACGACCAGCGUCUUCAUAAAGUGCAGCAUUUCUGUAUAUCCUCAUAGAUUUGUCGUCAAUCCUAGAACGUAUUUAGGUGGCCUCCGAGCGUCAGGCGUAACGUCAUAGUGUCCGCAUAAGCGAAUAAAUUUGUUUCUACCUAA